CCUACGGGUGGCAGCAGUGAGGAAUAUUUGUCAAUGGCCGGAAGUCUGAACCAGCCAUGCCGCGUGCAGGUCAUUGCCCUCUUGGCGUUAAACUUCUUUUGUGCGGGAGCAAUAAUCGUCACGUCUUGCCAGACGAUCGUACCGUACGACUAAGCAUCGGCUAACUCCGUGCCAGCAGCCGCGGUAAUACGGGGGAUGCAAGCGUUAGCCGGGGUUAUUGGGUUUAAAGGGUGCGUAGGCUGGUAGGUAAGUCAGAGGUGAAAUUCCCCCGCUCAACGGGGGGAAGUGCCAUUGAUACUGCCUUGGUGGAAUGCGGAUGCCGUGGGAGGAAUGUGUGGUGUAGCGGUGAAAUGCAUAGAUA
rnacentral:rRNA from 1 species